rnacentral:rRNA from 1 species
UACGAAGGGGGCUAGCGUUGUUCGGAUUUAUUGGGCGUAAAGGGCGCGUAGGCGGCGGGGUAAGUCGGGUGUGAAAUCUCAGGGCUCAACCCUGAAACUGCACUUGAUACUGCUCUGCUUGAGGACUGGAGAGGAGACUGGAAUUCACGGUGUAGCAGUGAAAUGCGUAGAUAUCAAAGUGGAACACCAGUGGCGAAGGCGAGUCCCCUGGACAACACCUGACACUGAGGCACGAAAGCCCGGGGGAGCAAACAGG